UACGUAGGGUGCAAGCGUUGUCCGGAAUUAUUGGGCGUAAAGAGCUCGUAGGCGGUUUGUCGCGUCGGAUGUGAAAACCCGGGGCUCAACCCUGGGCCUGCAUUCGAUACGGGCUGACUAGAGUUCGGGCAGGGGAGACUGGAAUUCCUGGUGUAGCGGUGAAAUGCGCAGAGUAUCAGGAGGAACGACCGGUGGCGAAGGC
rnacentral:rRNA from 1 species